rnacentral:lncRNA from 1 species
GUUGUAAUCCCUAUUUCUUUCCCUAGAGGGUUAAUCCUUGAUAUGUUCAUCCUAAUCGAUGACGGGUUUCCUCCCUUUUUUGGUCUUCGACCCAGUAACGGGUAGUUGUAAAUCUUGUUUCCCCUUUUUGCGGAGUCUAUCCUUGAUAUGUUUACCCUAACUAGUGACGGAUAUUCUCUCUUUUGGUAUUCUUUCCAGUAACUGAUAGAUAUAAUUCCUAUUGCUCCCCUCGGAGUUUAUCCUUGAUAUGUUCAUCUUAACC